GCAAAGAUAACAUCAUGAAUUUCCUCUUCAUACAUAACCAAGGGGGAAGGUUGUAAGUUAUUGUGAGAACAGGCCAACAACUAUGCCUACUGGUCAUGGAGCUAUGAGGAUUGAUACCAUCUGCUGAAAUAGCAAGUCUAAGGUUCCUACAAUCUGAAGCAAAUUCAGGCCACAUUUGGUUCACUAGUUGCCAUGUUGGGGAAUCCACUAGGUGUCGAAGCUUACCAUCAUUUUCUCUACCUUUUGCAUGCCAUUUUAGGUCUUU
rnacentral:lncRNA from 1 species